UACGAAGGGGGCUAGCGUUGCUCGGAAUCACUGGGCGUAAAGGGUGCGUAGGCGGGUCUUUAAGUCAGGGGUGAAAUCCUGGAGCUCAACUCCAGAACUGCCUUUGAUACUGAAGAUCUUGAGUGCGGGAGAGGUGAGUGGAACUGCGAGUGUAGAGGUGAAAUUCGUAGAUAUUCGCAAGAACACCAGUGGCGAAGGCGGCUUACUGGUCCGGUACUGACGCUGAGGUGCGAAAGCGUGGGGAGCAAACAGG
rnacentral:rRNA from 1 species